AAGUCGUAACAAGGUUUCCGUAGGUGAACCUGCGGAAGGAUCAUUAACAAAUUUCAAAAACUUGUCUUGCUAUCAGGUGGUGACAGUUGUGUGUUUGUGUUCCAACAUAUAUUUGUUGGAACGAAGGCGCAUAUACCGUUCAUCAUCCUGGUAGUUUGUACACAACAUUAACAUUUAUGAUUGACAAAUAAUGGAGAACCAAUUUAUUAAAAUUAAUAGUUUAUAAACAACUUUUAACAAUGGAUCUCUUGGCUCUU
rnacentral:misc_RNA from 1 species